CUGAGGCGCGAAAGCGUGGGGAGCGAACAGGAUUAGAUACCCUGGUAGUCCACGCCGUAAACGAUGAGUGCUAAGUGUUAGAGGGUUUCCGCCCUUUAGUGCUGCAGCUAACGCAUUAAGCACUCCGCCUGGGGAGUACGGCCGCAAGGCUGAAACUCAAAGGAAUUGACGGGGGCCCGCACAAGCGGUGGAGCAUGUGGUUUAAUUCGAAGCAACGCGAAGAACCUUACCAGGUCUUGACAUCCUUUUGCCCUCCCUAGAGAUAGGGAUUUCCCUUCGGGGACAAAAGUGACAGGUGGUGCAUGGUUGUCGUCAGCUCGUGUCGUGAGAUGUUGGGUUAAGUCCCGCAACGAGCGCAACCCUUGAUCUUAGUUGCCAGCAUUCAGUUGGGCACUCUAAGGUGACUGCCGGUGACAAACCGGAGGAAGGUGGGGAUGACGUCAAAUCAUCAUGCCCCUUAUGACCUGGGCUACACACGUGCUACAAUGGAUGGUACAAAGGGCAGCAAAACCGCGAGGUUGAGCCAAUCCCAUAAAACCAUUCUCAGUUCG
rnacentral:rRNA from 1 species